GGAUGUCAGGGCAAUUGGCUAUAACAACAUCGAUUCUAUCGGCAGCACUGAUUUGUCUGAUUAGGAUGGCUAGGCAGGUGUGCCCUUCAUGCCUCAAUGCUACAUUUGUAGGAGAACAGGGUGGUCAAGCUUCCAAACUCCAGCAUAUCCAAAUGAGGUGCUGCCUAUGGCAGUCUGCCUUUAUUA
rnacentral:snRNA from 1 species